rnacentral:rRNA from 1 species
AGUUUGAUCCUGGCUCAGGAUGAACGCUGGCGGCGCGCCUAACACAUGCAAGUCGAACGGCACCCACCCUCCGGGGGGAAGAGGUGGGGAAGGGGUAAUUCACAGUGGGAAACUCCCCCUCUCCCCGGGAAACCCCCCCGAAAAGCCGGGUAAUCCCGGUACCCCGGGGGUCCCAAUGGCACCCCCGUUAUAACGCCCCCGGGGGAGGGAGGCUCCCGGCCCCUCCGGUAACGGCGGGGUGACGGCCCCCCGGCCCGCCAACGGGUACCCGGGUUAGAGAACCGCCCGCCCAGAUUGGGAUUGAACACGGCCCAGAUUCCUACGGGAGGCAGCAGUGGGAAUCUUGCGCAAUGGGGGGAACCCUGACGCAGCGACGCCGCGUGCGGGACGGAGGCCUUCGGGUCGUAAACCGCUUUCAGCAGGGAAGAGUCAAGACUGUACCUGCAGAAGAAGCCCCGGCUAACUACGUGCCAGCAGCCGCGGUAAUACGUAGGGGGCGAGCGUUAUCCGGAUUCAUUGGGCGUAAAGCGCGCGUAGGCGGCCCGGCAGGCCGGGGGUCGAAGCGGGGGGCUCAACCCCCCCGAAGCCCCCGGAACCUCCGCGGCUUGGGUCCGGUAGGGGAGGGUGGAACACCCGGUGUAGCGGUGGAAUGCGCAGAUAUCGGGUGGAACACCGGUGGCGAAGGCGGCCCUCUGGGCCGAGACCGACGCUGAGGCGCGAAAGCUGGGGGAGCGAACAGGAUUAGAUACCCUGGUAGUCCCAGCCGUAAACGAUGGACGCUAGGUGUGGGGGGACGAUCCCCCCGUGCCGCAGCCAACGCAUUAAGCGUCCCGCCUGGGGAGUACGGCCGCAAGGCUAAAACUCAAAGGAAUUGACGGGGGCCCGCACAAGCAGCGGAGCAUGUGGCUUAAUUCGAAGCAACGCGAAGAACCUUACCAGGGCUUGACAUAUGGGUGAAGCGGGGGAGACCCCGUGGCCGAGAGGAGCCCAUACAGGUGGUGCAUGGCUGUCGUCAGCUCGUGUCGUGAGAUGUUGGGUUAAGUCCCGCAACGAGCGCAACCCCCGCCGCGUGUUGCCAUCGGGUGAUGCCGGGAACCCACGCGGGACCGCCGCCGUCAAGGCGGAGGAGGGCGGGGACGACGUCAAGUCAUCAUGCCCCUUAUGCCCUGGGCUGCACACGUGCUACAAUGGCCGGUACAGAGGGAUGCCACCCCGCGAGGGGGAGCGGAUCCCGGAAAGCCGGCCCCAGUUCGGAUUGGGGGCUGCAACCCGCCCCCAUGAAGUCGGAGUUGCUAGUAAUCGCGGAUCAGCAUGCCGCGGUGAAUGCGUUCCCGGGCCUUGUACACACCGCCCGUC